rnacentral:rRNA from 1 species
UACAGAGGGUGCUAGCGUUAUUCGGAAUUACUGGGCGUAAAGCGCACGUAGGCGGCUUGAUAAGUCUGAUGUGAAAUCCCUGGGCUCAACCCAGGACGGUCAUUAGAUACUAUCUCGCUUGAGUACAGGAGGGGAGAGUGGAAUUCCAGGUGUAGAGGUGAAAUUCGUAGAUAUCUGGAGGAACAACAGUGGCGAAGGCGACUCUCUGGACUGUAUCGAAAGAUUUAAAACUGACGCUGAGGUGCGAAAGCG